GCCUCGGUGGCGGAACUGGUAGACGCGCACGGUUCAGGUCCGUGUUGGUAACACCAGUGGAGGUUCGACUCCUCUCCGAGGCACCA
rnacentral:tRNA from 1 species